rnacentral:rRNA from 1 species
AUUGAACGCUGGCGGCAUGCCUUACACAUGCAAGUCGAACGGCAGCACGGACUUCGGUCUGGUGGCGAGUGGCGAACGGGUGAGUAAUACAUCGGAACGUGCCUAGUAGUGGGGGAUAACUACUCGAAAGAGUGGCUAAUACCGCAUGAGAUCUACGGAUGAAAGCAGGGGAUCGCAAGACCUUGUGCUACUAGAGCGGCCGAUGGCAGAUUAGGUAGUUGGUGAGGUAAGGGCUCACCAAGGCGACGAUCCGUAGCUGGUUUGAGAGGACGACCAGCCACACUGGGACUGAGACACGGCCCAG